AUCGUAUACAUGCUUCAAUCGGAAAGUAUGUUGUUAAGUUUUUUAGGAACAAGAUACAGGAAUUUCGCUUAUAUCGUAUGAGCUACUUUGUUGUCGGACCAAAUAAUUUUGAAGUUGAGGACUACAACACACAACUUGAGGCUGACAUUUACACAAAAGACAUUUGUUGAGGAAACAACUGAUCCUGGAUUUCAUAUGAACAUCUUUAACUUGCGUCCUUUUGACCAACUAACAAAUCAACAUGAUGUCGAUGAGACAGAAUUAUUCGAUGUUGUUGGCCAGGUUGUGACCUAUGAAGAUGUUAAGACCUACAAACAAGGAGACGACCAAAGUGUCUUUAUUAAUGUUGUACUCGAGGAUGAUCAGAGGAAUAGGAUUUUGGCAACCUUAUGGAGUGAACUUGUGGAUCAAAUUCAACAUCACUUGACUGAAUCUACAGAUGAACCUUUGAUUGUUGUUUUCUAACAUAUGAAAGCUCAAAAAUUUCGAGGUAAUUACUCAGUGCGUAGUUGUUGGUAUGAGACAAAUAUAUGGAUUAAUCCUACGCUGCCGCAAUCAACUGAGUUUAAAUCCAGAUUUCCGGCAGUACGUCAAUCAAACUUUGAGCCGAUUACUCAGACAAGUUCACAGCAAAGUUACUCUGUUAGAGAUGAGUUAGACAAAGGAAUUAUACUGUUUAAAACUAUUAGGGAUUUAGUUCAGUGUACGCAGGAAUGUAGCUAUUGAAUUGCGGCAAAAUUGGUGAAUUUGGAACUUGACCGAGGAUGGUCAUACUUGACAUGCAACAAGUGUACUAGAAAGGUUGACAGAGUUGGUACUACAUACUUUUGCAAGAAAUGCAAUGAAGAAGCAUGUUCUAUUACUCACAGGUAUAGGCUUCAAGUUCGUGUUAUGGAUGGAACCGCUUUUAUCUCAUUAUUGCUUUGGAAUCGCGAUGCUAUGCAGCUUAUAGGGAAGUCCGCAAAAGAACUUAAGGAAGGAUUAGUUGAGGUAUAAUACUAAACUUAAUUUAGUUGUCAAUUAUAAUAUUUCUAACCUCGAAAAUUUGGUGUAGACCUCAAUUGGGGAUGCUGAUUGUUCUUAUCCAACUGAA